UGACAGCAUCAGGAGAGAUUUCUAAAAAGAAAUCCACCAACCGAGCUUAAAAGCUACGGUGGUUAGUUCCAUUAAACGGAAGAUGUGCCUCAAUAGAGGAAAAAUGGAACCGCCU
rnacentral:ncRNA from 10 species